UACGUAGGGACCGAGCGUUGUCCGGAAUCAUUGGGCGUAAAGAGCGUGUAGGCGGCCACUUAAGUCCUGCGUGAAAUCUUGCGGCUCAACCGCAAGCGGUCGUGGGAACUGGUGGCUAGAGUGCGGGAGAGGAGAGUGGAAUUCCUGGUGUAGCGGUGGAAUGCGCAGAUAUCAGGAAGAACACCCGUGGCGAAGGCGGCUCUCUGGAACGCAACUGACGCUGAGACGCGAAAGCGUGGGGAGCAAACAGG
rnacentral:rRNA from 1 species